rnacentral:lncRNA from 1 species
AUUGUGGUUAAAAAAAAAUUAACAGGAGGCCUUGUCUGCUUUACUCCCUGUGCAAGUAAGUCUACCUGUGCCAGUGCAGUCAGUUCUAAAAUCCUGACUUUAUCACUGAUCUGUUCUCAUUGUCCUAAUAGUCUCCUAUCAUCAUCAUCACACUGCCGUGAGUCAGAGCAUUUAAAACAGUGAGCUCCCACCCCAGCAGUUCUUCAGAAAACAUUGUACAUUCCCUCUAACCUUCAGCCUUAAAGCCUAUCAGUGGUGAAAUGCAUCAUCGUGUUCUGCAUUUCUGUUUGUGCCUGAGUGUGCCCUCAGAUGACCAGACCUGCUCCUUUACUUGCUCAUUGUUUAACACUGUUAAAGUUAUAAGGUCAUUUCCCUCAUACAUACAUCAGGGGACAAAAAGCAACUGCAAUUGUUUUCUUUUACUUCAUAAGACAUUAAGUUAUUGGCUUAAUUUCUAUCAUUGGCAUACAAAUGAUUAGGACAUAAUAACUAGGUAUAAUAAUAAAAGGUGUGAACAAACCUAAACUCACAUUAAUUAAAAACCUACAAAAUACCUGGCCCAAACUGUCGCUGCCCCUCUUGUCUCACAUAACAUUGAAUUAGCACAGUGGACAACAGCCUAUGCUAGUAUUGAGGAGUCAAGAUUUACCAUAAAGAUUUCACGUGUAUUAUAUCAUCAACAGUUUGAUUAUGUACUGUUCAUUUUAUAGAGAAGAUGAGGCAGGUGGACAGGAGUAAAAACUGGUUCACUUUCUUUCCCUUCAUCAUUCACUUAACUUGAGGGUGCCACAGCUUUAUCACCAAUGUUUUACUAAGUAACCAACUUACCCUCUAAUUCUUAAAGGGUAGAGGUCAAGUCUAAAUAAUAUCUCUGUUCUUC